rfam:Schistosoma mattheei strain Denwood, Zambia genome assembly, scaffold: SMTD_scaffold0011156
AUUCAACUGAUGAGUCCCAAAUAGGAUGAAACGUGCUUUAUCCUGGAU